GCCUGUCUAGCUCAAUCAGUACAGCGUAAGGCACUUAACCUUGUGGUUGUGGGUUCGAGCCCCACGGUGGGUG
rnacentral:tRNA from 1 species